AGCAGCCGCGGUAAUUCCAGCUCCAAUAGCGUAUAUUAAAGUUGUUGCAGUUAAAAAGCUCGUAGUUGAAUUUCGGGGUCAGUAGAUUGGUCAUGCCUCCGGUAUGUACUGGUCUUACUGGCUCCUCCUUCCUGAUGAACCGUAAUGCCAUUAAUUUGGUGUUGCGGGGAGACUGGACUGUUACUUUGAAAAAUUAGAGUGUUUAAAGCAGGCUAACGCUUGAAUACAUUAGCAUGGAAUAAUGAAAUAGGACGUUCGAUCUUAUUUUGUUGGUUUCUAAGAUUGACGUAAUGAUUAAUAGGGAUAGUUGGGGCAUCAGUAUUCAAUUGUCAGAGGUGAAAUUCUUGGAUUUAUUGAAGACUAACUACUGCGAAAGCAUUUGUCCAAGGAUGUUUUCUAUUAAUCAAGAACGAAAGUUAGGGGAUCGAAGACGAUCAGAUACCGUCGUAGUCUUAACCAUAAACUAAUGCCGACUAGGGAUCGGAUGA
rnacentral:rRNA from 1 species